rnacentral:rRNA from 1 species
CUUCGGGUAAUGAGGAUGGCGGACGGGUGAGUAACGCGUAAGGAACUUGCCUCUUGGACUGGGACAACUGUUGGAAACGACAGCUAAUACCGGAUAUUAUGAGAUUCUCGCAUGAGAAACUUAUGAAAGCUAUAUGCGCCAAGAGAGAGCCUUGCGUUCCAUUAGCUAGUUGGUGGGGUAACGGCCCACCAAGGCGACGAUGGAUAGCCGGCCUGAGAGGGUGAACGGCCACAAGGGGACUGAGACACGGCCCUUACUCCUACGGGAGGCAGCAGUGGGGAAUAUUGGACAAUGGGCCACAAGCCUGAUCCAGCAAUUCUGUGUGCACGAUGAAGGUCUUCGGAUUGUAAAGUGCUUUCAGUUGGGAAGAAGAAAGUGACGGUACCAACAGAAGAAGCGACGGCUAAAUACGUGCCAGCAGCCGCGGUAAUACGUAUGUCGCAAGCGUUAUCCGGAUUUAUUGGGCGUAAAGCGCGUCUAGGCGGAAAAAUAAGUCUGAUGUUAAAAUGCGGGGCUCAACUCCGUAUUGCGUUGGAAACUGUUUUUCUAGAGUACUGGAGAGGUGGGCGGAACUACAAGUGUAGAGGUGA